rnacentral:lncRNA from 1 species
ACCCUAGUGUGUUUAGUAGAUAAUCCUUCCAAACAUUGAUUCCAUGGGAGGGGAUAAAUGAUAAAAGGUAACAAUAGCUAAGAGUGGGAGGGGGACCUUGUGGAUAUUGAAAGAAUCAGAGAAUAGGAAUGAUGUUGGGAGGAUGAUGUUAUCUCUGUCUAGCUUUUUAAGUGCUCUUUGUCCUCAAGGCUAUGUAUUGUAAAUGAUGAGCUAUUUGUGCGGAAUGCCAGUUCUGAAGAGAUCCAAAGAGCCUUCGCUAUGCCUGCACCCACGCCUUCCUCCAGCCCGGUGCCCACCCUCUCUCCAGAGCAGCAGGAAAUGUUGCAAGCAUUCUCUACCCAGUCUGGCAUGAACCUCGAGUGGUCCCAGAAGUGCCUUCAGGACAACAACUGGGACUACACCAGAUCUGCCCAGGCCUUCACUCAUCUCAAGGCCAAGGGCGAGAUCCCAGAAGUGGCAUUCAUGAAGUGAUCGUAGUCAUGCCUCAGAAGCAGUCCCCCCUGUAAAUAGUCCUUGGAUAUUACCGUCU